AAAAAAGAACCGCACGCGUACAACUAGGCAAAGCGAUUUCCAACAAGGCAACAACCGAUCGAAGGAGAGGAAGCGAAUCGCGUUGGGCAAGACAAUGGCGGCGCAGCUGGUGCAGGUGGUGACAAGGCUUGGCAAUCGCUUAGGGGCAUCUACGGGUCUUUUCAAGCCAACGCCUGCCCAGAGCAAAGCGGAGGUCCAGGCUUUCCUACAAUCGCUUCCUAUUGACUACAAUAAUAUCGAUGGUGAGGCUGCGAGGAUCUAUGCGAGUCUCAAGAGGAAAGGUCCAGAAAUACCCUUGGAUACUGUGACCCUUUGUCUCAAGUCAGCGCGUGACAUCAUCGCGAGCAAAUGAUAUUUGGAUCUAUGCUAUGCAAGUAUCUUCUUGCUUAAUUUGUAAGGUCGAAUUGUUCUCCAUAUUUAGAAAUACCUGACAGCCUGCCAGAUUGGAGUGUAAGCUUUCGUGCCGGUAUUUAUAGCGGCCUGCGAACCAUCUCGUUCUACAUUAUGUUUUGCUGGA